AUCUAGCUGACGAGCCCCACGAGGGACGAAAUGCACGUCCUGGAU
rnacentral:hammerhead_ribozyme from 1 species